GCUCAGAAUGAACGCUGGCGGCGUGCUUAACACAUGCAAGUCGAACGAGAAAGCCGAAAGCUUGCUUUUGGCGAGUAAAGUGGCGCACGGGUGAGUAACGCGUGGGUAAUCUGCCUUCGAAUUUGGGAUAACACUUCGAAAGGAGUGCUAAUACCGGAUAACAUCUUUUUAACUUUGGUUAAAGAGAUCAAAGAUAGCCUCUACAUGUAAGCUAUUGUUUGGAGAUGAGCCCGCGUACCAUUAGCUUGUUGGUAGGGUAACGGCCUACCAAGGCGACGAUGGUUAGCUGGUCUGAGAGGAUGAUCAGCCACACUGGAACUGGAACACGGUCCAGACUCCUACGGGAGGCAGCAGUGAGGAAUUUUGCGCAAUGGGGGAAACCCUGACGCAGCAACGCCGCGUGAGUGAUGAAGGCUUUCGGGUCGUAAGCUCUGUCAAGUGGGAAGAAGUUAUCAUAUAUUAAUAGUAUGUGGUAUUGACGGUACCACUGAAGGAAGCACCGGCUAACUCCGUGCCAGCAGCCGCGGUAAUACGGAGGGUGCAAGCGUUAUUCGGAUUUACUGGGCGUAAAGGGCGCGUAGGCGGUCUGAUAAGUCAGUUGUGAAAGCCCGGGGCUCAACCCCGGAAGUGCAAUUGAAACUGUCAGGCUUGAGUAUGGUAGAGGGAAGUGGAAUUCCUGGUGUANCGGUGAAAUGCGUAGAUAUCAGGAGGAACACCGGUGGCGAAGGCGACUUCCUGGACCAAUACUGACGCUGAGGCGCGAAGGUGUGGGGAGCAAAC
rnacentral:rRNA from 1 species